UACGGAGGGUGCGAGCGUUAAUCGGAAUAACUGGGCGUAAAGGGCACGCAGGCGGUUGAUUAAGUGAGAUGUGAAAGCCCCGAGCUUAACUUGGGAAUUGCAUUUCAUACUGGUCAACUAGAGUACUUUAGGGAGGGGUAGAAUUCCACGUGUAGCGGUGAAAUGCGUAGAGAUGUGGAGGAAUACCGAAGGCGAAGGCAGCCCCUUGGGAAUGUACUGACGCUCAUGUGCGAAAGCGUGGGGAGCAAACA
rnacentral:rRNA from 1 species